rnacentral:rRNA from 1 species
AUUGAACGCUGGCGGCAUGCCUUACACAUGCCAGUCGAACGGUAACGGGCCUUCGGGUGCCGACGAGUGGCGAACGGGUGAGUAAUACAUCGGAACGUGCCCGAUCGUGGGGGAUAACGAGGCUAAAGCUUUGCUAAUACCGCAUACGAUCUACGGAUGAAAGCAGGGGACGGCAAGGCCUUGCGCGGACGGAGCGGCCGAUGGCCGAUUAGGUAGUUGGUGGGAUAAAAGCUUACCAAGCCGACGAUCUGUAGCUGGUCUGAGAGGAUGAUCAGCCACACUGGGACUGAGACACGGCCCAGACUCCUACGGGAGGCAGCAGUGGGGAAUUUUGGACAAUGGGCGCAAGCCUGAUCCAGCCAUGCCGCGUGCAGGAUGAAGGCCUUCGGGUUGUAAACUGCUUUUGUACGGAACGAAAAGCCUUCUUUUAAUACAGGAGGGUCAUGACGGUACCGUAAGAAUAAGCACCGGCUAACUACGUG